rnacentral:rRNA from 1 species
GAUGAACGCUGGCGGCGUGCCUAAUACAUGCAAGUCGAGCGAAUGGAUUGAGAGCUUGCUCUUAUGAAGUUAGCGGCGGACGGGUGAGUAACACGUGGGUAACCUGCCCAUAAGACUGGGAUAACUCCGGGAAACCGGGGCUAAUACCGGAUAACAUUUUGAACCGCCUGGUUAGAAAUUGAAAGGCGGCUUCGGCUGUCACUUAUGGAUGGACCCGCGUCGCAUUAGCUAGUUGGUGAGGUAACGGCUCACCAAGGCAACGAUGCGUAGCCGACCUGAGAGGGUGAUCGGCCACACUGGGACUGAGACACGGCCCAGACUCCUACGGGAGGCAGCAGUAGGGAAUCUUCCGCAAUGGACGAAAGUCUGACGGAGCAACGCCGCGUGAGUGAUGAAGGCUUUCGGGUCGUAAAACUCUGUUGUUAGGGAAGAACAAGUGCUAGUUGAAUAAGCUGGCACCUUGACGGUACCUAACCAGAAAGCCACGGCUAACUACGUGCCAGCAGCCGCAGUAA